GGGUAAAAGACCCACCGAACGGCGACGAUCGGUAGCUGGUCUGAGAGGACGAGUCAGCCACACUGGGACUGAGACACGGCCCAGACUCCUACGGGAGGCAGCAGUGGGGAAGUUUUCCGCAAUGGGCGAAAGCCUGACGGAGCAAGACCGCGUGGGGGAAGAAGGCUCUUGGGUUGUAAACCCUUUCUCUGGGAAGAAAGUUGUGAAAGCAACCUGACGGUACCAGAGGAAUCAGCAUCGGCUAACUACGUGCCAGCAGCCGCGGUAAUACGUAGGUGGCAAGCGUUGUCCGGAAUUAUUAGGCGUAAAGCGCGCGCAGGCGGAUUGGUCAGUCUGUCUUAAAAGUUCGGGGCUUAACCCCGUGAUGGGAUGGAAACUGCCAAUCUAGAGUAUCGGAGAGGAAAGUGGAAUUCCUAGUGUAGCGGUGAAAUGCGUAGAUAUUAGGAAGAACACCAGUGGCGAAGGCGACUUUCUGGACGAAAACUGACGCUGAGGCGCGAAAGCCAGGGGAGCGAACGGGAUUACGUAUACCCCCGGUAGUCCUGGCCGUAACGACUCGGGUCGACGCGGCCG
rnacentral:rRNA from 1 species